AGUUGCAUUUUGUCUUGAAUUUGCACUUAGCCUUCGCUCUAUGAGCUUCAUUAGGUCUUAAAACAAUCUAAACCCUAUUUUCCACUGCAUACCUCCCUAAAGCUUUUCUAAAUUCCUUAGGACCAUUAAAAAUCAUACUAAGUUCAAAAACAACAACAACACAAUCAUGAUCAAAUCUGACUUUAUUACUUCUUCUUCUUCUUGAAAAAUCAACACCAACAACAACAUCCUCAUCUAACAAAUCAGUGCUAUCAAUACUACACAGUCUGAACUAUCAAUAUACUCUUCAUCACCUCGUAAUCCCCACAUAUCUAUCUUUCUUAUUCCUGCCAAUGUCUUGAAAACCUUUAUUAAUACCAGCUUCACCUACUGAUAUUUCUUCUCUUUCUUUAGAUUUUUUUCUUUGAAUUUUUUUCUUCUACUUUCAUCCCUAAAGGCUCUCAACUCUUCAUCAAUGUCUGAAUCAUCCUCAUCAAGGAUAUCAUCACCAUUCAUAUCCGAUUCACUAUUGGGA
rnacentral:lncRNA from 1 species